AUUGAACGCUGGCGGCAGGCCUAACACAUGCAAGUCGAGCGGAUGAAGGGAGCUUGCUCCUGGAUUCAGCGGCGGGCGGGUGAGUAAUGCCUAGGAAUCUGCCUGGUAGUGGGGGAUAACGUCCGGAAACGGGCGCUAAUACCGCAUACGUCCUGAGGGAGAAAGUGGGGGAUCUUCGGACCUCACGCUAUCAGAUGAGCCUAGGUCGGAUUAGCUAGUUGGUGGGGUAAAGGCCUACCAAGGCGACGAUCCGUAACUGGUCUGAGAGGAUGAUCAGUCACACUGGAACUGAGACACGGUCCAGACUCCUACGGGAGGCAGCAGUGGGGAAUAUUGGACAAUGGGCGAAAGCCUGAUCCAGCCAUGCCGCGUGUAUGAAGAAGGUCUUCGGAUUGUAAAGCACUUUAAGUUGGGAGGAAGGGCAGUAAGUUAAUACCUUGCUGUUUUGACGUUACCAACAGAAUAAGCACCGGCUAACUUCGUG
rnacentral:rRNA from 1 species